rnacentral:snRNA from 1 species
GUGCUCGCUUCAGCAGCACAUGUAUUAAAUUGGGACGAAACAGCGAAGAUUAGCAUGGCCCAUGUAUAAGGAUGACAUGCACAUUCACGAAGCAUUCCGUACUUUG